rnacentral:tRNA from 1 species
ACCCCCGUGGCGCAAUGGACUAGCGAGUUGGACUAAUUCAAAAGUUUUGGGUUUGAGUCCCACCGGGGGUG